rnacentral:rRNA from 1 species
AAAAAGUAAAUCAAUUAAAACUUUCAACAACGGAUCUCUUGGUUCUGGCAUCGAUGAAGAACGCAGCGAAAUGCGAUAAGUAAUGUGAAUUGCAGAAUUCAGUGAAUCAUCGAAUCUUUGAACGCACAUUGCGCCCUUUGGUAUUCCGAGGGGCAUGCCCGUUCGAGCGUCAUUA